rnacentral:rRNA from 1 species
GAUGAACGCUGGCGGCGUGCCUAAUACAUGCAAGUCGAGCGAACAGACGAGGAGCUUGCUCCUCUGACGUUAGCGGCGGACGGGUGAGUAACACGUGGAUAACCUACCUAUAAGACUGGGAUAACUUCGGGAAACCGGAGCUAAUACCGGAUAAUAUAUUGAACCGCAUGGUUAAAUAGUGAAAGACGGUUUUGCUGUCACUUAUAGAUGGAUCCGCGCCGCAUUAGCUAGUUGGUAAGGUAACGGCUUACCAAGGCGACGAUGCGUAGCCGACCUGAGAGGGUGAUCGGCCACACUGGAACUGAGACACGGUCCAGACUCCUACGGGAGGCAGCAGUAGGGAAUCUUCCGCAAUGGGCGAAAGCCUGACGGAGCAACGCCGCGUGAGUGAUGAGGGUCUUCGGAUCGUAAAACUCUGUUAUUAGGGAAGAACAAAUGUGUAAGUAACUAUGCACGUCUUGACGGUACCUAAUCAGAAAGCCACGGCUAACUACGUG